rnacentral:rRNA from 1 species
CCUACGGGUGGCAGCAGUGAGGAAUAUUGGUCAAUGGACGAGAGUCUGAACCAGCCAAGUAGCGUGAAGGAUGACUGCCCUAUGGGUUGUAAACUUCUUUUAUAUGGGAAUAAAAUGUGCCACGUGUGGGAUUUUGUAUGUACCAGAUGAAUAAGGAUCGGCUAACUCCGUGCCAGCAGCCGCGGUAAUACGGAGGAUCCGAGCGUUAUCCGGAUUGAUUGGGUUUAAAGGGAGCGUAGGUGGAUUGUUAAGUCAGUUGUGAAAGUUUGCGGCUCCACCGUAAAAUUGCAGUUGAAACUGGCAUUCUUGAGUUCAGUAGCGUUGGCCGCACUUCGUGGUGUAGCGGUGACAUGCUUAGAUCUCACG